rnacentral:rRNA from 1 species
UACGUAGGGGGCAAGCGUUGUCCGGAUUUAUUGGGCGUAAAGAGCUCGUAGGCGGCUCAGUAAGUCAGGUGUGAAACCUCCAGGCUCAACCUGGAGACGCCACCUGAUACUGCUGUGGCUAGAGUCCGGUAGGGGAGCGUGGAAUUCCUGGUGUAGCGGUGAAAUGCGCAGAUAUCAGGAGGAACACCAGCGGCGAAGGCGGCGCUCUGGGCCGGAACUGACGCUGAGGAGCGAAAGCGUGGGGAGCAAACAGG